AAGAAAAAGAAAGAAAAAGAAAGAAAAAGAGAAAGAGAAAGAGAAUUCAAUACAAUCAGCGCCACAGACAGACCCUUUUUCUUUUCUUUUUUCUCUUUUUUCCUUUCUUUUUAAUCCUCCCGCUUUG
rnacentral:ribozyme from 13 species